rnacentral:rRNA from 1 species
CACGUAGGGCGCAAGCGUUGUCCGGAAUUAUUGGGCGUAAAGAGCUCGUAGGCGGCUUGUCACGUCGAUUGUGAAAGCCCGAGGCUUAACCUCGGGUCUGCAGUCGAUACGGGCUAGCUAGAGUGUGGUAGGGGAGAUCGGAAUCCUGGUGUAGCGGUGAAAUGCGCAGAUAUCAGGAGGAACACCGGUGGCGAAGGCGGAUCUCUGGGCCAUUACUGACGCUGAGGAGCGAAAGCGUGGGGAGCGAACAGG